CCAUGUGAUUUGCUUUGUUUGUUGGUUUUAAAUAAUAUAUAUAUAUAUAUUUAUAUAUAUUCUGUUAUAUUGCUUUUAUGUUGCAACAAAAGUGAGCUGGACGAGUAGUAUGGAUUGUCACGUGGGUCCCUCAUUUAAAGACGAAAAAAUGGCCUUUGCAAGUGGUGGGGCCCACGGUGGUUAUUUUUAAGUUGGUUUUGAUGGUGUGGCCGUGGUUUUGAGUUGGAGUGGGUGGGCCCACAGUGGUUAUUUUUUUUUAAUUGGUUUUGAUGGUGGUGGACUUCUUAGUGGGUCUUUGGAUUUUAAAUCAGUGGGUUCUUUGGGCUUGUGCUGUAAUUGGUUUGUAAAGGUUUUUUGAUGCAUAGCUCCGUGGGUUUCUUCAAUACCGCGGGAUUUUGAUUAGUGCAAGUGUGUGCUGUCCGUGGCCUCCAUUGUUUUUGUGGUCCACGGCCAAUUAAGGUAAAUUAGAAAUUUGUUUAGUCCAUGAAGUUUGUUGUCUACUACAUUUGGUUUUUGGUUAUUUGGUUAUUGAUCCGUACAUAUUCAUGUGAUUAGGCUUAGAGCAGUUCUCUGACCUCUUCUGGUGUGGAGUGAGGGGGACACUGCCAUGGGGAAUUGAGGUGUGGAAUUUUGCCAUUGCUGGAACUGGGAGAUGUAUGGUGAGUUAAUUGGAUUUUGAUUGGCUCUUGUGUGGACAACAUUUUGCCUGCGCUGUGCUUCUUUGUUGUUGAUAAAUCCAAGUGGGUGAGUGGUUUUGUUUUGGAAAUUGGUGGGCCUUUAAUUUUUGGUUAGCCACAAUGCAGCGGACCGCUUGUAGUCAGUUAUUGCAUGAUGAUUGAUUGUGUGAUCCUCAUGUGACUUGAUAUUAGGGUGGUUUUGAGCCAUCUCCACCAAGAGUUAUUGGGGAGUCACUGCUUUGGGGAAUAGUGGUUCGAUAACUAGCCGAGUUAGAGACUGGGAGAUGAGCAGGAGGAUAGCUACCGGUUUGCUGGUCGCUUCUUGUCUUCAUGUGACCCAUCCUAAUUGAUUGUAUUGCCACGCCUGACAUGGAGUGAAGGGGACACUGCCGUGGGGCUUGAGGCUUGUGAUCUACCACGGAAGGGACUGGGGGAUGUGAUGAUUGCUCUCAUGUUUUGUUGGCUAUGUAUUGGUUUGUUGCAACGGGGCGAUUGCUUUUUCACUAAACUUCUCAAGACCGUUGAUUAUGGUGAUUGACUAUGCAGGCUUCAUGUGACACAGCCAGGAUCUUUCAUGGGAUAGAUAUUUUCCUUCGUCAUAGCUUUGGUUGAGUGGCUAGGAUGUCACGGCUCUGAGAAGCGAGAUGCUUAUUCGAUUCCAUGCUUUCAUCCGAGGUAGAGACUGGGAGCAAGCGGGGACAGUUAUCAUUCUCGAUUGGUCUUGUUGGGUGUUUAGUUUGUUACAUUUGUAUUGUGUGUUUGUCUGUUAUGUUCUUGAGUCUGUGGUGUGUUUUUGUUUACUUGCCCAUAUAUCCACCCCAAGUUCCCAUCUAUUAUCUCUGAUAGUAGGGGUUACUUGGGGAAAUUUAGGAUAUAUGGGCAAAGUGGGGUUCUAUUUUUUCUGUUGUUCUUUCGCUUCUUGCGAGUGUGAUUACAUGUUGUAGGAUGUCCAGUGGUAAUUUGUGGUGUUUUCUGUUCGUCUUUAUUUGUUGUUGGGCGUACCUGGGGUAUGCCCCUUGUAAACUUGUACAUUUUACUGUCUUUAUUUUAUUACUUACUU